rnacentral:rRNA from 1 species
CCCGGGCCUUGUACACACCGCCCGUCACACCACAAAGUUGGUAACACCCGAAGCCAGUGGCCCAACCCUCGGGAGGGAGCUGUCGAAGGUGGGAUCAGCGAUUGGGGUG